rnacentral:rRNA from 1 species
UACAGGGGGUGCAAACGUUGCUCGGAAUCAUUGGGCGUAAAGCGCACGUAGGCGGUUCGUUAUGUCGGAUGUGAAAGGCCCUUGGCUUAACCGAGGAAGUGCAUCCGAAACUGGCGAGCUAGAGUACUAAAGAGGAUCGCGGAAUUCCCGGUGUAGAGGUGAAAUUCGUAGAUAUCGGGAGGAACACCGGUGGCGAAGGCGGCGAUCUGGGUAGAUACUGACGCUGAGGUGCGAAAGCGUGGGGAGCAA